CAGGGGCCGGUGUUUGAUGUUGACCCCUCAGCUCCAGCCCACGAGCCAACAAAUAAAAAUUACCUAGUUUGUCGUAUGUUGUAGCAGCAGAAGAAAAUCGAUUCUGAGACUCGAGGCUGUUGCUAUGACGACUACCUGAAAACAUGAAAGCAGUUUGGGAACUGGGUCAUGGGCUGGAAGAGUUUGCAGGAGAAGGAGUUGUUUUGUGUGUGGUGUUAUUUGGGGACUGGAUCUCAUCGUUCUACAAACAGAUGAUCCUCUGUCACGGAUCAGGUUUCCACCUCUGAAAGGGUCUGCAUCAGAGACCUUCUCCUGUUUGGUUGAUAACGAAAAUUGGAAACGUACAAGGUCAUCAAGUCAAAUACACUAGUUUUACAAGCUGAAGAGAGACGUGGACGUGUGUGGCAGCUGUUUGUAUCCGUUUUAUUGCCCAGGAGAUGGGUUUUAAAAAUGUGUUUUGAGGCCUGAAGCUGCCAGGGACUUACAGCCCCACUGGUUUAGACAUCUGGUAAACCUGGAGAAUGGCGGUAGCAGGCAACACACAGAGGGACGGUCACACAGCAAGACAGGAAGCAGCCAGAGACACAGCUAGCACACAGCUUACACACCAGCCUCUCCUGGGACGUGCCUUCAGAGGGCAAGCAUCGUGACCUACAGGCCUCCUACCGGGCUCUCCUCCUGGUUCAAGUCUCCACCCUUAAUCCAUUAACCGUUAAUAUAAGACUUGGUGGUUUAAACACGAGUUUGGGGAGCUACAGCCUGUUUAAACCAUAACAGUAUAUGUGUAUCACAACAAUAUCUGGACACACACACAACUCCAACAAAGCAAUGGUUACAUCACAAGAUAGGUACCCCUCCACUUGUCCAUGUCACACAAUGUGUGUAUGUGAGAGGCAUCCACAUGUAUGCAUAUAUGCAUGCAUAACAUGUAGGAACACAUGCUUAUUUAUGCAAAUAUGUGCGUGUGUGGACAUAAGUACAUGUAUGGAGUGUGUAUGUGUAUGUGCAUGUGUCCUGGAGACAUUCUCCCACCAGCACAUGUGUGUAUCCCCACACACAUACAGCAGCAUGUACAAGGGCAUCCUACCAUGAUUUAUAACAAAAGGAUACCUAUCUUAGCAGUGCAUGUAAGUUGCCAAUUUGUUCGCUCAGUGAAAGAGUUAACCUAUACAAGUUAGGUCUACACACACCUGGAUGAACAAAAAUCAGAAACAAGACCAAAAUUGAAAAGCACAA